rnacentral:rRNA from 1 species
UACGUAGGGGGCAAGCGUUGUCCGGAAUCAUUGGGCGUAAAGAGCGUGUAGGCGGCCAGGUAGGUCCGUUGUGAAAACUCGAGGCUCAACCUCGAGACGUCGGCGGAAACCCUCUGGCUAGAGUCCGGAAGAGGAGAGUGGAAUUCCUGGUGUAGCGGUGAAAUGCGCAGAUAUCAGGAAGAACACCCGUGGCGAAGGCGGCUCUCUGGGACGGUACUGACGCUGAGACGCGGAAAGCGUGGGGAGCAAACACGG